UUUUUUAAGUCUGAUGUGAAAGCCUUCGGCUUAACCGGAGAAGUGCAUCGGAAACUGGGAGACUUGAGUGCAGAAGAGGACAGUGGAACUCCAUGUGUAGCGGUGGAAUGCGUAGAUAUAUGGAAGAACACCAGUGGCGAAGGCGGCUGUCUAGUCUGUAACUGACGCUGAGGCUCGAAAGCAUGGGUAGCGAACAGGAUUAGAUACCCUGGUAGUCCAUGCCGUAAACGAUGAGUGCUAAGUGUUGGAGGGUUUCCGCCCUUCAGUGCUGCAGCUAACGCAUUAAGCACUCCGCCUGGGGAGUACGACCGCAAGGUUGAAACUCAAAGGAAUUGACGGGGGCCCGCACAAGCGGUGGAGCAUGUGGUUUAAUUCGAAGCUACGCGAAGAACCUUACCAGGUCUUGACAUCUUCUGCCAAUCUUAGAGAUAAGACGUUCCCUUCGGGGACAGAAUGACAGGUGGUGCAUGGUUGUCGUCAGCUCGUGUCGUGAGAUGUUGGGUUAAGUCCCGCAACGAGCGCAACCCUUAUUAUCAGUUGCCAGCAUUCAGUUGGGCACUCUGGUGAGACUGCCGGUGACAAACCGGAGGAAGGUGGGGAUGACGUCAAAUCAUCAUGCCCCUUAUGACCUGGGCUACACACGUGCUACAAUGGACGGUACAACGAGUCGCGAAGUCGUGAGGCUAAGCUAAUCUCUUAAAGCCGUUCUCAGUUCGGAUUGUAGGCUGCAACUCGCCUACAUGAAGUUGGAAUCGCUAGUAAUCGCGGAUCAGCAUGCCGCGGUGAAUACGUUCCCGGGCCUUGUACACACCGCCCGUCACACCAUGAGAGUUUGUAACACCCAAAGCCGGUGAG
rnacentral:rRNA from 2 species